AUUGAACGCUGGCGGCAUGCUUUACACAUGCAAGUCGAACGGUAACAGGCCGCAAGGUGCUGACGAGUGGCGAACGGGUGAGUAAUGCAUCGGAACGUGCCCAGUCGUGGGGGAUAACGCAGCGAAAGCUGCGCUAAUACCGCAUACGAUCUAUGGAUGAAAGCGGGGGACCGUAAGGCCUCGCGCGAUUGGAGCGGCCGAUGUCAGAUUAGGUAGUUGGUGGGGUAAAGGCUCACCAAGCCAGCGAUCUGUAGCUGGUCUGAGAGGACGACCAGCAACAGUGGGAGUGAGACACGGACCAGACUCCUACGGGAGGAAGCAAUGGGGAAUUUGGGACAAUGGGCGAAAGCCUGAUCCAGCAAUGCCGCGUGCAGGAAGAAGGCGUUCGGGUUGUAAACUGCUUUUGUACGGAACGAAACGGUCCUGGUUAAUACCUGGGGCUAAUGACGGUACCGUAAGAAUAAGCACCGGCUAACUACGUGCCAGCAGCCGCCGUAACAC
rnacentral:rRNA from 1 species